CCUACGGGGGGCAGCAGUGGGGAAUAUUGGACAAUGGGCGCAAGCCUGAUCCAGCAAUGCCGCGUGUGUGAAGAAGGCCUGCGGGUUGUAAAGCACUUUCAGUAGGGAAGAAAUGCCCGAGGCGAAUAACCACGGGUGCUGACGUUACCUACAGAAGAAGCACCGGCUAACUCCGUGCCAGCAGCCGCGGU
rnacentral:rRNA from 1 species